rnacentral:misc_RNA from 1 species
UUGAACCAGUGAUGCUUGAAGAUGGUGAAGCUGGAGAUGCAUUAAAGAAUAGGAUACCCAGAACCAGUUCCUUGGAUGGCAUAGAACUGCAAGUUGUAGACAGUAUAUCAAAAGAUAGAGAUACAGCGGGUAAUUCCACUACAGCUACUGGGAACAUGGAAGUAGUCUCUGAAAUUGAGGACUCUAUGAACCAAUCUGUUUCCCCCAUUUCCCAAUUACAUAGUUCAUUGGAAAUUGAUGAUUUGAAGGGAAAUUUUCCAUUUGCUAGUCCACCAAAAGGAAUAUCUGUAGAAGCAGAUUAUGUAACAAGCAAAUCUACAUCUGCUGUC